GGUUGGCACCUUCCCAUGAGAGCCUAGAUACAGUUUCCAGGAAGUAGAGCAUCGAGAGCAUCUAUUCCUGCUGUUGGCACUCCUGCCAGCACCAUCCUCCACUGACGUCAGAAUUCAGCUUCUGUAGCCUCCUAAUGUGGACCAAAGGCCAGAAACUCUCCGGUAACUUUCCAGGACUUCAGCAUCCAUCAGAGCUGGACUAUGGGACACCAGGCUUGUGGACUAAGCGGCAAGGUUUUCAGCUUCUCUGAGAACCAUGCGAAAUCCACUUCUUGAUCACCUACUGGCAGUCUUCUCUAAGAUAGCCUCUUCUUCAGUCAAGAGCCAAGAGAACAGCCGUUUCUUUUUUUAUUAUUUAAUUAAAUUUUUCUUUUCAAACAUGA